rnacentral:miRNA from 1 species
UUUAUUCAUCUGCUAAUGGACAUCUAGGCUAGUUCUGUAUCAUGGCUAUUAUGAAUUGUGCCACAAUAAACAUGGGUAUGGAGCUGUCUCUACAAUGUGCUGACUUUG